rnacentral:rRNA from 1 species
GGUCCUAAGGUAGCGAAAUUCCUUGUCGGGUAAGUUCCGACCUGCACGAAUGGCGUAAUGAUGGCCAGGCUGUCUCCACCCGAGACUCAGUGAAAUUGAACUCGCUGUGAAGAUGCAGUGUACCCGCGGCAAGACGGAAAGACCCCGUGAACCUUUACUAUAGCUUGACACUGAACAUUGAGCCUUGAUGUGUAGGAUAGGUGGGAGGCUUUGAAGUGUGGACGCCAGUCUGCAUGGAGCCGACCUUGAAAUACCACCCUUUAAUGUUUGAUGUUCUAACGU